UGGGGAAUAUUGGGCAAUGGACGCAAGUCUGACCCAGCAACGCCGCGUGAAGGAAGAAGGCUUUCGGGUUGUAAACUUCUUUUGUCAGGGAAGAGUAGAAGACGGUACCUGACGAAUAAGCCACGGCUAACUACGUGCCAGCAGCCGCGGUAAUACGUAGGUGGCAAGCGUUGUCCGGAUUUACUGGGUGUAAAGGGCGUGCAGCCGGGCCGGCAAGUCAGAUGUGAAAUCUGGAGGCUUAACCUCCAAACUGCAUUUGAAACUGUAGGUCUUGAGUACCGGAGAGGUUAUCGGAAUUCCUUGUGUAGCGGUGAAAUGCGUAGAUAUAAGGAAGAACACCAGUGGCGAAGGCGGAUAACUGGACGGCAACUGACGGUGAGGCGCGAAAGCGUGGGGAGCAAACAG
rnacentral:rRNA from 1 species